rnacentral:tRNA from 1 species
CAGGGUAUAGCUAAGGAGAAAGCUUCUCUUUUACGCGGAGAAUAUACCUGUGCAACUCGGGUUGCUCUGA